rnacentral:misc_RNA from 1 species
GAUGAAGAACGCAGCGAAAUGCGAUAAGUAGCGUGAAUUGCAGAAUUCAGUGAAUCAUCGAAUCUUUGAACGCACAUUGCGCCCCUUGGUAUUCCAUGGGGCAUGCCUGUUCGAGCGUCAUUUGUACCUUCAAGCUCUGCUUGGUGUUGGGUGUUUGUCUCGCCUCUGCGUGUAGACUCGCCUCAAAAUAAUUGGCAGCCGGCGUAUUGAUUUCGGAGCGCAGUACAUCUCGCGCUUUGCACUCAUAACGACGACGUCCAAAAGUACAUUUUUACACUCUUGACCUCGGAUCAGGUAGGGAUACCCGCUGAACUUAAGCAUAUCAAUAAGCGGAGGA